GCUUGUCUCAAAGAUUAAGCCAUGCAUGUCUAAGUUUAAAUAGAAAACAGUGAAACUGCGAAUGGCUCAUUAAAUAAUUUUGCAUAUACAAGAUAGUCAACUCUACUUGGAUAACCGUAGUAAUUCUAGAGCUAAUACAUGCGUAAAGUCCCGACUCUUUCUGGGGAGGGAUGUAUUUAUUAGAUAAAAAACCAAUGCGGGUUCUGCCCGGUUUUGUGUUGAAUCAUAGUAACUUUUCGAAUCGCAUGGCUUCACGCCGGCGAUAGUUCAUUCAAAUUUCUGCCCUAUCAGCUUUCGACGGUAGUGUAGUGGACUACCGUGGCGUUAACGGGUAACGGAGAAUUAGGGUUCGAUUCCGGAGAGGGAGCCUGAGAAACGGCUACCACAUCUAAGGAAGGCAGCAGG
rnacentral:rRNA from 1 species